AGUGGGGCUUUGACCCUAACC
rnacentral:miRNA from 1 species